UACGUAGGGACCAAGCGUUGUUCGGAUUUACUGGGCGUAAAGGGCGCGUAGGCGGCAAUUCAAGUCAUCUGUGAAAUCUCCGGGCUUAACCCGGAACGGUCAGGUGAUACUGUUUUGCUAGAGUGCGGAAGGGGCAAUCGGAAUUCUCGGUGUAGCGGUGAAAUGCGUAGAUAUCGAGAGGAACACCAGAGGUGAAGACGGGUUGCUGGGCCGACACUGACGCUGACAGCGCGAAAGCCAGGGGGAGCAAACGGGG
rnacentral:rRNA from 1 species